rnacentral:rRNA from 1 species
CAUGCAGUCGAGCGAUGAAGCACCUUCGGGUGUGGAUUAGCGGCGAACGGGUGAGGAACACGUGAGAAAUCUGCCUUCAACUCUGGGAUAACUCCGGGAAACCGGGGCUAAUACCGGAUAUGAGCCUCUUUCGCAUGAAGGGGGCUGGAAAGUUUUUCGGUUGAAGAUGAUCUCGCGGCCUAUCAGCUUGUUGGUGAGGUAACGGCUCACCAAGGCUACGACGGGUAUCCGGCCUGAGAGGGCGACCGGACACACUGGGACUGAGACACGGCCCAGACUCCUACGGGAGGCGGCAGUGGGGAAUAUUGGGCAAUGGGCGAAAGCCUGACCCAGCGACGCCGCGUGAGGGAUGAAGGCCUUCGGGUUGUAAACCUCUUUCAGCAGGGAAGAAGCGAAAGUGACGGUACCUGCAGAAGAAGCACCGGCUAACUAUGUGCCAGCAGCCGCGGUAAUACAUAGGGUGCAAGCGUUGUCCGGAAUUAUUGGGCGUAAAGAGCUCGUAGGUGGUUCGAUACGUCGGAUGUGAAAAUCAGGGGCUCAACCCCUGACCUGCAUUCGAUACGGUCGAGCUAGAGUGUGGUAGGGGAGACUGGAAUUCCUGGUGUAGCGGUGGAAUGCGCAGAUAUCAGGAGGAACACCGAUGGCGAAGGCAGGUCUCUGGGCCAUUACUGACACUGAGGAGCGAAAGCGUGGGGAGCGAACAGGAUUAGAUACCCUGGUAGUCCACGCCGUAAACGGUGGGCGCUAGUUGUGCGAACCUUCCACGGUUUGUGCGACGCAGCUAACGCAUUAAGCGCCCCGCCUGGGGAGUACGAUCGCAAGAUUAAAACUCAAAGGAAUUGACGGGGCCCCGCACAAGCAGCGGAGCAUGCGGCUUAAUUCGACGCAACGCG